GUGGCCAUAGCUCAGUAGGUAAGAGAGUACUUGCUUUGUAAGCAUGAAGACCUGGGUUCAAAUCCCCAGCACCCACA
rnacentral:tRNA from 2 species